UCGAGCAGCUUUUACGUGGCGAUCACGUAGAACUUGGACGUAGAAAACUGCGGUGUCGUCUGGUGGAUUGAAAUAAUUUUCCGUAGCCGCAAGCGAUAUUCACUAUGUUCUGCUACUGCACCGUAGCGAUAGUUGCAAUUCUGUAUAUGCUUUUUGACGUGAAUUACUUUCUGAGAAUAGCGUUUACGCUUAGUUGGGGAAGGCUUUUCCAAAAAAAGAAGAAAUUAUUCGAAGAGACCACCAUUCACGGUAUAUGCACGACCCAAGAUGUCGACCUCUUCUUCAGGAAUAUGAAUAUCGCAAGGUACGUCAGAGAACUGGACUUCGCCCGGUUCCACUACUACGACAGGUCUGGAGUGUAUGGAGCCAUCCAUGCCGAAGGUGGUAGCGCAGUUCAAAGUGCCGCAUCUGUACGUUACAGAAGAGCACUGCCAAUAUUUACUCCGUACAAGGUUACGACGAAGCUAAUCUACUGGGACGAUAAGAAUUUCUACUUAGAGCAGCAGUUGAUCAGUUUGCCGGACAAUUUUAUCCGGACGAUCGUUUUAAGCAAGCAAAGUGUAACUGGUCUCAAAAUACCAGUAUCGGAAAUCAUCGCGAAAGUCGAACAGGAAGCCAAGCGGCCGGAAUUACCGAAAGAUUUAAGACUGUGGCUGGAAUCGAUGGAGGAAUCAUCGCAAAAAUUGAAGAAACAGAAUUAACGGAUGCAAGAAGAUCGUUGAUAAGUAUAUUUAUCCGGAAGGUGUGUUGUUCACCGCAGUAUGAUCGCCAUGUGAAUCUACGUAUCUACGUUUACUACUUGCCGUGUGACAAAUAACAUGUGGACCAGUUUAUCAGUCACAUGGUAUGUAAUGCUGUUCAACGUCAAGUGCACACUUUACUUCCACUUGUUAAAGUUUGAUUAUUUUAUU